GUAGACAGGUAUACUGAAACAGGUAGACGGGUAUGCUGAAACAGGUAGACAGGUAUGCUGAAACAGGUAGACAGGUAUGCUGAAACAGGUAGACGGGUAUGCUGAAACAGGUAUGCUGAAACAGGUAGACGGGUAUACUGAAACAGGUAGACGGGUAUGCUGAAACAGGUAUGCUGAAACGGGUAGACAGGUAUGCUGAAACAGGUAGACGGGUAUGCUGAAACAGGUAUGCUGAAACAGGUAGACAGGUAUGCUGAAACAGGUAGACGGGUAUACUGAACCAGGUAGAUGGGUAUACUGAAACAGGUAUGCUGAAACAGGUAGACGGGUAUACUGAACCAGGUAGACGGGUAUACUGAAACGGUUAGACGGGUAUGCUGAAACCACCAGCUAAACUUUUCCUAAUAUUAUCAGUAUUUUAAAUGCUUAUCGCCGCUAGUUGUCUAACUGAUCGAGAGGGAAUGUGUUGGUAAGCACUAGUUACUCAAGUUCAUUAUAUUUCCAGACAUGC
ensembl:lncRNA